UCCAGGAUGGACAACCCAGCUGGCUCAUGCUCCGUUUUGAUGAGGUUCUGGGAAGCAAGCCAGCCAUCCAGCUGCUUGCGACUGUCACGGACUGCUCCUGGUCCCUACUGCAAGGCUUCACUCCAUGGUCAACCUUCCUGUCCUGAACGACUAUUCCAGACUCCUACUUCUCUCAUUAUCCAGCAAAACUUUAUGUGUCCACAGGAAGCUGAUUUACAGAUCAUGCCAACUUUGAAAACUAAAAAUACCUCAAGCCCCCUCCUAGACAUUCUGAUUCAGUAGGUCUGGAAUGGAGCCCAGCAAUGCAAGUUUUAAGGAUGAUCUCUGGUUGAUUCCAAUGUGUACUCCUGGUUGAGACCCAUAAUGGAGUCAGACUGUUAUCUAAUUCACAUGAUAAAUGGAGGUCCAAUAAGAAAAUAUAUGCUGUUUAAAAGUCACCCAGAGACUUCAUGAUUAAAAAAGGAUUCAAGUCUCCUGAUUCUUAUUCUGUAUUCCUCUUUUUAGAACAAUAGAGUUGACAAAAGAAAGGAAAAUUAACUCCUGUUACUAAUCAUACUCCAUUCUAUAAAGAGACUGCAGCAGAAAAUAUAUAUAACUAUAUUUUAUAUAUAAUAUGUAUUUGUAAAUAUAUAUUUCAAAGCCUUAAGAGUCAUACUUAUCAUAAUCAGAAAAGAGGAUUUUGUCUGAAUAUGCAGCUUGCAUUUAAAAACAAGAAAAUAUAAAGAAAUGGAAAGUACUAUGGUUCAAAUUUUCUAUUGAAACCAGUUCUAUGAAUUAGUUGAGAGAUUCUGCCAAUAUUCAAUGUGGAAGAAGUAUGAAUAGCUGCAGUCAUCUGGAUAGAAUUUCCCCUUUGCUUUUCAAUCAUGUAUCAUUAUUUAUAAAUUUUAAACUAUCACUUUUGAGAUAAUAAACUUGAAAAAUCAAAGUCUUAUAGAGGCACAGCAUUUUUAUUAUAAAUGAAACAGCAGGGCAGGGGGAAAUUGUUAGUGUUUCAUUUUAGUUAAAACAUUCCAUUUCAAUGAAGGUCCUUGAGGGCAGGAGGC
rnacentral:lncRNA from 10 species